GUUUGAUCAUGGCUCAGAAUCAACGCUGGCGGCGUGCCUAACACAUGCAAGUCGAACGCGAGAGGGGCUUCGGCUCCGAUUGAGUGGCGAACGGGUGAGUAACACGUGGGUGACCUACCUUCGAGUGGGGGAUAACGUCCCGAAAGGGACGCUAAUACCGCAUAACAUCCUGCCUUUGAACAGGCGGAGAUCAAAGCCGGGGAUCGCAAGACCUGGCGCUUGAUGAGGGGCCCGCGUCUGAUUAGCUAGUUGGUGAGGUAACGGCCCACCAAGGCGACGAUCAGUAUCCGGCCUGAGAGGGCGGACGGACACACUGGGACUGAGACACGGCCCAGACUCCUACGGGAGGCAGCAGUGGGGAAUUGUUCACAAUGGGCGCAAGCCUGAUGACGCAACGCCGCGUGGAGGAUGAAGGUCUUUGGAUUGUAAACUCCUGUUGCUCGGGACGAAAAGCCUCGACCUAAUACGUCGAGGUCUGACGGUACCGAGUGAGGAAGCCCCGGCUAACUCUGUGCCAGCAGCCGCGGUAAUACAGAGGGGGCAAGCGUUGUUCGGAAUUACUGGGCGUUAAAGGGCGCGUUA
rnacentral:rRNA from 1 species